rnacentral:tRNA from 1 species
GACUCGGUAGCUCAGUCGGUAGAGCAACGGACUUUUAAUCCGUUGGUCGUGGGUUCGAUUCCCACCCGAGUCACCA